rnacentral:sRNA from 1 species
AGCGGGCCAAGAGCUUUAUUUAGCUGAACUGAAAUCUCACAGACCUGGAACACGACUCCUAAGCCGGUGUCCUUGCUGCCUAAGAGGACAAAAGCUCGUGAGCGGGCUUGGCCCCUCUGGGAAGACAGCCA